UCAAGUUAGUGGCGCACGGGUGAGUAACACGUGGGUAAUCUGCCCAACAGCUCAGGAUAACAGUUGGAAACGACUGCUAAUACCGGAUACGAACUAGUUUUAUCGUUAGUUGAAAGGAGGCCUCUGCUUGCAAGCUUUCACUGUUGGAUGAGCCCGCGGCUCAUUAGAUAGUUGGUGGGGUAACGGCCUACCAAGUCAGUGAUGAGUAACCGGCCUGAGAGGGUGAACGGUCACACUGGGACUGGAACACGGCCCAGACUCCUACGGGAGGCAGCAGUGGGGAGUAUUGCGCAAUGGACGAAAGUCUGACGCAGCGACGCCGCGUGAAGGAUGAAGGUCUUCGGAUCGUAAACUUCUGUCAGGAGGAAAGAACUGCACGGGUGCUAAUCAGCCCGUGUUUGACGGUACCUCCAGAGGAAGCACCGGCUAACUCCGUGCCAGCAGCCGCGGUAAUACGGAGGGUGCAAGCGUUAAUCGGAAUCACUGGGCGUAAAGCGCGCGUAGGCGGUGAUGAAAGUCAGUGGUGAAAGCCCUCAGCUUAACUGGGGAAUUGCCAUUGAAACUGCAUUGCUUGAGUAUGUGAGAGGAUAGUGGAAUUCCUGGUGUAGGAGUGAAAUCCGUAGAUAUCAGGAGGAACAUCAGUGGCGAAGGCGACUAUCUGGCACAUUACUGACGCUGAGGUGCGAAAGCGUGGGGUGCAAACAGGAUUAGAUACCCUGGUAGUCCACGCCGUAAACGAUGGAUACUAGGUGCUGGGAUUUAUCUCGGUGCCGUAG
rnacentral:rRNA from 1 species